rnacentral:rRNA from 1 species
AAUCAACGCUGGCGGCGUGCCUAACACAUGCAAGUCGAACGCGAAAGUCCCGCAAGGGAUUAGUAGAGUGGCAAACGGGUGAGUAACACGUGGGUGACCUGCCCUCAGCUCUGGGAUAAGCCCGGGAAACUGGGUCUAAUACCGGAUAUGACUCCACGGUGCAUGUCGUGGGGUGGAAAGCCUUGUGCGGCUGAGGAUGGGCCCGCGGCCUAUCAGCUUGUUGGUGGGGNGAUGGCCUACCAAGGCGACGACGGGUAGCCGGCCUGAGAGGGCGACCGGCCACACUGGGACUGAGACACGGCCCAGACUCCUACGGGAGGCAGCAGUGGGGAAUCUUGCGCAAUGGGCGAAAGCCUGACGCAGCGACGCCGCGUGAGGGAUGACGGCCUCGG